AACAAAAUAAGCAAAGUUAGUAUAAAAUCAAAAGAAGAAUAAAUCAAAUACAAUAUUAUGUAUAUAAAAAUGGAAAUUAUAAUGUACGGGCUACCACUUUAUAUUCACUUCUAAAAUUAUCAAAAAUAUGAAAAUAAAUCAAUAAAAAAAAUGCAUGGGUUAAUGUACAAUGAGACAACAAUAAAUAAAUAAAUGAAAGGUGACAUUAUCAAGAAAUUGAUUGGGCCUAUAAAAUACUCAACUUAACUCAAUUAAGCCUUUAUUCCAA
rnacentral:misc_RNA from 1 species